rnacentral:lncRNA from 1 species
GCUAGGGACCGAACCCAGGGCCUUGCGCUUUCUAGGCAAGCGCUCUACCACUGAGCUAAAUCCCCAACCCCUGUACACUUUUUUUUUUGUACACUUUUUUUUACACCUUGCUUUUUUUCCCCCUUACUUAGAAGGGGGAGUCAAAUGUGAAGUCAUGUGCUACAUGACUUUAGUCCCAGCACUCAGGAGGCAGAGGCAGGCAGAUCUCUGUGCAUUCAAGGCCAGUCAACAUAGAAAGCCAGGACUACAUAGAAAGACCCUGCCUCAAAAGAAAACAAAACAAAACAAUCAAACAAACAAACAAACAA